rnacentral:rRNA from 1 species
UACGUAGGGGGCUAGCGUUGUCCGGAAUCAUUGGGCGUAAAGCGCGUGUAGGCGGCCCGGUAAGUCCGCUGUGAAAGUCAAGGGCUCAACCCUUGAAUGCCGGUGGAUACUGUCGGGCUCGAGUCCGGAAGAGGCGAGUGGAAUUCCUGGUGUAGCGGUGAAAUGCGCAGAUAUCAGGAGGAACACCGAUGGCGAAGGCAGCUCGCUGGGACGGUACUGACGCUGAGACGCGAAAGCGUGGGGAGCAA